GAAAGCAUGCAAGUCAGAGGGUGAAGGAUGGAGGUGAAGAUGGACGGCUGAGAGGGAAGGGAGAGAGAUAAACGACUGAGAGGGAAGAGAGACAGAUGGCUGAGAGGGAAGGGAGAGAGAUAAACGUCUGAGAGGGAAGAGAGAGAGAGAGAUGGACGGCUGAGAGGGAAGGGAGAGAGAUAAACGACUGAGAGAGAAGAGAGAGAGAGAUAAACGACUGAGAGGGAAGAGAGAGAGACAGAUGGCUGAGAGGGAAGAGAGAGAGAUAAACGGCUGAGAGGGAAGGGAGAGAGACGGACGGCUGAGAGGGAAGGGAGAGAGACGGACGGCUGAGAGGGAAGGGAGAGAGACGGACGGCUGAGAGGGAAGGAGAGAGACGGACGGCUGAGAGGGAAGAGAGAGAGAUAAACGACUGAGAGAGAAGAGAGAGAGAGAUAAACGACUGAGAGGGAAGAGAGAGAGACAGAUGGCUGAGAGGGAAGAGAGAGAGAUAAAUGGCUAAGAGGGAAGAGAGAGAGACGGAUGGCUGAGAGGGAAGAGAGAGAGACGGACAGCUGAGAGGGAAGGGAGAGAGAUAAACGGCUGAGAGGGAAGGGAGAGAGACGGACGGCUGAGAGGGAAGAGAGAGAGAUAAACGACUGAGAGGGAAGAGAGAGAGACGGACGGCUGAGAGGGAAGAGAGAGAGAUAAACGGCUGAGAGGGAAGGGAGAGAGAUAAACGACUGAGAGGGAAGAGAGAGACGGACAGCUGAGAGGGAAGAGAGAGAGAUAAACGGCUAAGAGGGAAGAGAGAGACGGACAGCUGAGAGGGAAGAGAGAGAGAUAAACGACUGAGAGGGAAGAGAGAGAGACGGACGGCUGAGAGGGAAGAGAGAGAGAUAAACGACUGAGAGGGAAGAGAGAGAGACGGAUGGCUGAGAGGGAAGAGAGAGAGACGGACAGCUGAGAGGGAAGGGAGAGAGAUAAACGGCUGAGAGGGAAGGGAGAGAGAUAAACGACUGAGAGGCAAGGGAGAGAGAUAAACGACUGAGAGGGAAGAGAGAGACGGACAGCUGAGAGGGAAGAGAGAGAUAAACGGCUGAGAGGGAAGGGAGAGAGAAAGACCGCUGAGAGGGAAGGGAGAGAGAUAAACGGCUAAGAGGGAAGAGAGAGACAGACAGCUGAGAGGGAAGAGAGAGAGAUAAACGGCUAAGAGGGAAGAGAGAGAGACGGAUGGCUGAGAGGGAAGAGAGAGAGACGGACAGCUGAGAGGGAAGGGAGAGAGACGGACGGCUGAGAGGGAAGAGAGAGAGAAGGACCGCUGAGAGGGAAGGGAGAGAGAUAAACGUCUGAGAGGGAAGAGAGAGAGAGACGGACGGCUGAGAGGGAAGAGAGAGAGAUAAACGACUGAGAGGGAAGAGAGAGACGGACAGCUGAGAGGGAAGAGAGAGAAGGACGGCUGAGAGGGAAGGGAGAGAGAUAAACGGCUGAGAGGGAAGAGAGAGAGACGGAUGGCUGAGAGGGAAGAGAGAGAGAUAAACGGCUGAGAGGGAAGAGAGAGAGAGACGGACAGCUGAGAGGGAAGAGAGAGACGGACAGCUGAAAGGGAAAGGAGAGAGAUAAACGGCUGAGGGAAGAGAGAGAGAUAAACGGCUGAGAGGGAAGGGAGAGAGAGACAGAUGGCUGAGAGGGAAGAGAGAGAUAAACGGCUGAGAGGGAAGGGAGAGAGAAAAAUGGCUGAGAGGGAAGAGAGAGAGAUAAACGGCUGAGAGGGAAGAGCAAGAG